UGAGGAAUAUUGGGCAAUGCCCGCAAGGGUGACCCAGCAACGCCGCGUGGAGGAUGAAUGUCGUAAGAUUGUAAACUCCUGUUAGAGGGGAAGAAUAGUCCCGAUCGACUCGGGAUUUGACUGUACCCUCAGAGAAAGCCCCGGCUAACUCCGUGCCAGCAGCCGCGGUAAUACGGAGGGUGCAAGCGUUGUUCGGAAUUACUGGGCGUAAAGGGCGUGUAGGCGGCUGGCUAAGUCUGGUGUGAAAGCCCGGGGCUCACCCCCGGAAGUGCGCUGGAAACUGGUCAGCUAGAGUAUGGGAGAGGAAAGCAGAAUUCCUGGUGUAGCGGUGAAAUGCGUAGAUAUCAGGAGGAACACCGGCGGCGAAGGCGGCUUUCUGGACCAAUACUGACACUGAGGCGCGAAAGCGUGGGGAGCAAACAGGAUUAGAUACCCUGGUAGUCCACGCCCUAAACGAUGAGAACUAGCCGUUGGGGGUAUUUAAACCCUUAGUGGCGCAGCUAACGCGAUAAGUUCUCCGCCUGGGGAGUACGGCCGCAAGGUUA
rnacentral:rRNA from 1 species